UUAACAUAUGUGACAUUCUUCAAAACAAGAUUUCAACAGAUCCGCAUUUCAUAAUUUCCGGCAGUCCAUAAAUAGAGUCUCACCGCCUCCUGUCUAUCUUGGAGUCUCUUCUCUCCAGUGACGUUGAGUUCCCAACCAAACUUCAGCCAUGAAGAUAUUUUAUGUUCUUUUUGCUGUCUUCUUCUUGGUACUGCAAAGCUCUCCAGGAUUCGCCCCGGAUUCUCCCUCAUACCCCGAAGCAUGUACACGUGCUGGGGGCUUCUGCCACUUUAACUGUCCCUCACUUUCCACACCUAUUGGAAGCUGCGGUUUUGUGGAGAGUUGUUGUAGAUGGGGCUCAGCUCGUGAGUGAUGGUAGCAGAGACUGUCCAUGCAGGAUCUCUGGGAAUCUGGCAGACGACACCUUGCUUCUAAAAUCCUUGGAUCCUUUUCAUCUGGGC